AACGAACGUUGGCGGCGUGGAUUAGGCAUGCAAGUCGAGCGGAAAGGCCCCUUCGGGGGUACUCGAGCGGCGAAAGGGUGAGGUAAUGCGUGGGUACCUACCCCAAGGUCCGGGAUAGCCGCGGGAAACUGCGGGUAAUACCGGAUGAUAUCCUUCGGGAUCAAAGGUGUGAUUCCGCCCUGGGAGGGGCCCGCGUCCUACUAGCUUGUUGGUGAGGUAACGGCUCACCAAGGUGAUGAUGGGUAGCGGGCGUGAGAGCGUGGCCCGCCACACUGGGACUGAGACACUGCCCAGACUCCUACGGGAGGCUGCAGUCGAGAAUAUUCGGCAAUGGGCGCAAGCCUGACCGAGCGACGCCGCGUGCGGGAUGAAGGCCUUCGGGUUGUAAACCGCUGUCAGAGGGGCUGAAGUACCGGGGGGCUAUCCCCCUGGAUUGACAUAGCCUCAGAGGAAGCACGGGCUAAGUUCGUG
rnacentral:rRNA from 1 species